GGUUUACUCCAUACCCUAAAACAACAAUAUGCAAGGGGUAGUUGCAUGCAAAACCCACAAAAAAACCUGUUGGGAAGCCCUACAUUGAAUGUUGAUAUUUCCAUCUUCUAGGGUCAAAAUCCUAGAACAUCGAUAAGAAUAUGUUGAGAUGUUUUCAUGUAUAUAGCAUAGCAGAAGAAAAAAAAGUAGAAAUUUGAGCUUUUUAUCUAUUUAUUU
rnacentral:lncRNA from 1 species